GCAAGUCGAACGAGAAGCAGGACGUCGGUCCUGUGGAAAGUGGCGAACGGGUGCGUAACACUUGAGCAACCUGCCCUUAAGUAUGGAAUAGCUCACCGAAAGGUGAAUUAAUACUGUAUGUGACCCUCCAUCGCAUGGUGGAGUGGUUAAAGCUUGUAAUGGCGCUUAAGGAUGGGCUCGCGGCCUAUCAGCUUGUUGGUGAGGUAACGGCUCACCAAGGCGAAGACGGGUAGCUGGUCUGAGAGGAUGAUC
rnacentral:rRNA from 1 species